rnacentral:rRNA from 1 species
AUAAUACUCCAUAGAUUAGAGAUACUGGAAUGUUCUUUAGUCAAAAGUUCCGGCGCCUUAGGAUGGAUCUGCGGUCGAUUAGGUUGUUGUUGGGGUAACGGCCCAACAAGCCUGUAAUCGAUACGGGUUGUGGGAGCAAUAGCCCGGAGAUGGAAUCUGAGGCAAGAUUCCAGGCCCUACGGGGCGCAGCAGGCGCGAAAACUUUACAAUGCAGGAAACUGUGAUAAGGGAACCCCGAGUGCCCGUAUACGCGGGCUGUCCAGGUGUUUAAAAGUCAUCUGAAGAAAGGGCCGGGCAAGACCGGUGCCAGCCGCCGCGGUAAUACCGGCGGCUCGAGUGGUGGCCACUAUUAUUGGGCUUAAAGCGUCCGUAGCUGGACUGAUAAGUCUCUUGGGAAAUCCGCCGGCUCAACCGGCGGGCGUCUAAGGGAUACUGUUGGUCUAGGGACCGGGAGAGGUGAGAGGUACUCCGGGGGUAGGAGUGAAAUCCUGUAAUCCCCGGGGGACCACCGAUGGCGAAGGCAUCUCACCAGAACGGCUCCGACAGUGAGGGACGAAAGCUGGGGGAGCAAACCGGAUUAGAUACCCGGGUAGUCCCAGCCGUAAACUAUGCGCGUUAGGUGU